rnacentral:rRNA from 1 species
AACGAACGCUGGCGGCGCGUCUUAAGCAUGCAAGUCGGACGGCAAGGGCAGCAAUGCCCCUAGAGUGGCGGACUGGUGAGUAACACGUGGGUGACCUACCCUUAAGUUGGGGAUAACCGUUAGAAAUAGCGGAUAAUACCGAAUACGCUUGCGACGCUUUGGCGAUGCAAGGAAAGGAGCUAAGGCUCCGCUUGAGGAUGGGCCCGCGUCCCAUUAGCUAGUUGGUGAGGUAAAGGCCCACCAAGGCGACGAUGGGUAUCCGGCCUGAGAGGGUGUACGGACACAUUGGGACUGAGAUACGGCCCAAACUCCUACGGGAGGCAGCAGCUAAGAAUAUUCCGCAAUGGACGAAAGUCUGACGGAGCGACGCCGCGUGGAUGAAGAAGGCCGAAAGGUUGUAAAAUCCUUUUGCCGGUGAAGAAUAAGUGUGGUAGGGAAUGACCGCAUGAUGACAUUAGUCGGUGAAUAAGCCCCGGCUAACUACGUGCCAGCAGCCGCGGUAACGCGUAGGGGGCAAGCGUUGUUCGGAAUUAUUGGGCGUAAAGGGCAUGUAGGCGGUUUUGUAAGCCUGGUGUGAAAUCCUGCAGCUUAACUGUAGAAUUGCAUCGGGUACUGCAAGACUUGAAUCACAGAGGGGAAACUAGAAUUCCAGGUGUAGGGGUGGAAUCUGUAGAUAUCUGGAAGAAUACCGGUGGCGAAGGCGGGUUUCUAGCUGAUGAUUGACGCUGAGGUGCGAAAGUGCGGGGAGCAAACAGGAUUAGAUACCCUGGUAGUCCGCACAGUAAACGAUGUACACUAGGUGUCGGGGCAUGAGUCUCGGUGCCGAAGCUAACGUGAUAAGUGUACCGCCUGGGAAGUAUGCCCGCAAGGGUGAAACUCAAAGGAAUUGACGGGGGCCCGCACAAGCGGUGGAGCAUGUGGGUUUAAUUCGAUGGUACGCGAGGAACCCUUACCUGGGUUUGACAUCUA